rnacentral:rRNA from 1 species
UCGCGGCCUAUCAGCUUGUUGGUGGGGUAACGGCCUACCAAGGCAUCGACGGGUAGCUGGUCUGAGAGGAUGAUCAGCCACACUGGGACUGAGACACGGCCCAGACUCCUACGGGAGGCAGCAGUGGGGAAUCUUGCGCAAUGGGCGAAAGCCUGACGCAGCAACGCCGCGUGCGGGAAGAAGGCUCUCGGGUUGUAAACCGCUUUCAGAAGGAACGAAACUGACGGUACUUUCAGAAGAAGGUGCGGCCAACUACGUGCCAGCAGCCGCGGUGACACGUAGGCACCAAGCGUUGUCCGGAUUUAUUGGGCGUAAAGAGCUCGUAGGCGGUUCAGUAAGUCAGGUGUGAAAUCUUUGGGCUUAACCCAAAGCGUGCAUUUGAUACUGCUGUGACUUGAGUUCGGUAGGGGAGUGGGGAAUUCCUAGUGUAGCGGUGAAAUGCGCAGAUAUUAGGAGGAACACCGGUGGCGAAGGCGCCACUCUGGGCCGAAACUGACGCUGAGGAGCGAAAGCGUGGGUAGCAAACAGGAUUAGAUACCCUGGUAGUCCACGCCGUAAACGUUGGGCACUAGGUGUGGGUUCCAACCAACGGGAUCCGCGCCGUCGCUAACGCAUUAAGUGCCCCGCCUGGGGAGUACGG